UUGCAACCACAUCACUUUGAAACACCGGUUCCCUUACGACUAGAGAAGUUAAGCAACAUCAAACCUGAUCAGUAUUUAGAUGGGUGACCACUUGGGAAUACCAGGUGCUGUAAU